rnacentral:rRNA from 1 species
AGGGCGUAUGGUGGAUGCCUAGGCUCUCAGAGGCGAUGAAGGACGUGAUAAGCUGCGAAAAGCUCCGUUUAGGUGCAAAUAACCUUUGAUGCGGAGAUCUCCGAAUGGGAUAACCCAAUAUGUUGAAGACAUAUUAUACCGUAAGGUAGGCAAACGCAGGGAACUGAAACAUCUAAGUACCUGCAGGAGAAGAAAACAAACGUGAUUCCCCCAGUAGCGGCGAGCGACCGGGGAUAAGCCCAAACCGUUAUUGUUUCGGCAGUAGCGGGGUAGUAGGACUGCGACAUUGAUGAAAUAAAUGAAAUGGAACACCUUGGAAAAUGUGAUCACAGAGGGUGAUAAUCCCGUACAUGUAAGUUUAUGAAUCAUAGCAGAAUCCUGAGUAAGUCGGGACACGUGUAAUCCUGACCGAAUCCGCCGGGACCAUCCGGCAAGGCUAAAUACUCCCGAGAGACCGAUAGUGAACCAGUACCGUGAGGGAAAGGUGAAAAGCACUUCGAACAGAAGAGUGAAAUAGUCCCUGAACCCAUACGCCUACAAGCAGUCGGAGCCGCUUCGUGCGGUGACGGCGUGCCUUUUGCAUAAUGAGCCUACGAGUUACUCAUCACCAGCGAGGUUAAGUACUUCAGGUACGUAAGCCGAAGCGAAAGCGAGUCUGAAUAGGGCGUCAAGUUGGUGGUGGUAGACGCGAAACCUUAGUGAUCUACCCAUGGGCAGGGUGAAGGUUUGGUAACACAAACUGGAGGCCCGAACCGGUAAACGUUGAAAAGUUUUCGGAUGACCUGUGGGUAGGGGUGAAAGGCCAAUCAAACUGGGAAAUAGCUCGUACUCUCCGAAAUGCAUUUAGGUGCAGCCUCUGUUGUUUUGUUCUAGAGGUAGAGCUACUGAUUGGAUGCGAGGGCUUCACCGCCUAUCAAAUCCGGCCAAACUCCGAAUGCUAGAACAUGAAGACAGGGAGUGAGCCAGCGGGUGCUAAGGUCCGUUGACGAAAGAGGGAGAACUCAGACCAUCAGCUAAGGUCCCCAAUUAUAUGCUAAGUUGGAAUAAAAACGGGGUGGGACUGCUUAGACAGCUAGGAUGUUGGCUUGGAAGCAGCCAUUCAUUUAAAGAGUGCGUAACAGCUCACUAGUCGAGCGGUCCUGCAUGGAUAAUACGCGGGCAUAAGCAUAUAACCGAAGCUAUGGGAUUGUAGAUGAUACAAUCGGUAGGAGAGCAUUCCAUUCAGCAUAGAAGCAGUACCGUGAGGUAUUGUGGAGCGGAUGGAAAAGCAAAUGUAGGCAUAAGUAACGAUAAUGCGGGUGAGAACCCCGCACGCCGAAAGAUCAAGGAUUCCCCGGCAAUGUCAAUCAUCCGGGGGUAAGUCGGAUCCUAAGGGUAAGCCGAGUGGCGAUCCCGAUGGUAAACAGGUUAAUAUUCCUGUACUGAUCAUAACUGCGAUGCAGCGACGCAGAGGUGACACUGCUGCGUACUGACGGAAUAGUACGUUGAAACCCGUAUUCUUUGAUACCGGUAGUGAAGCACGCCGGUAGAGAUGAAAGGUGAUAGUACCGCAAUGCUUCGGUUGCGCGGAUAAUGCAGGUAAGCUGACUGCCAAGAAAACCUGCUAAGCUUCAGGUAAUGAUCAUCCGUACUGUAAACGGACACACGUGAUCAGGUAGAAAAUACUAAGGCGCUCGAGAGAUUCAUGGUUAAGGAACUAGGCAAAAUGGUCCUGUAACUUCGGGAUAAAGGACGCUCUUGUGAAAGAGCCGCAGAUAAUAGGCCCAGGCGACUGUUUACCAAAAACACAUGGCUAUGCUAAUUCGCAAGAAGAUGUAUAUGGCCUGACACCUGCCCGGUGCCGGAAGGUUAAGAGGAGAGCUCAGAGGUAACUCGAAGGUUUGAAUUGAAGCCCCGGUAAACGGCGGCCGUAACUAUAACGGUCCUAAGGUAGCGAAAUUCCUUGUCGGGUAAGUUCCGACCUGCACGAAUGGUGUAACGAUCU